rnacentral:rRNA from 1 species
AACGAACGCUGGCGGCAUGCCUAACACAUGCAAGUCGAACGAAGGCUUCGGCCUUAGUGGCGCACGGGUGAGUAACACGUGGGAACCUGCCUUUCGGUCCGGGAUAACGCCGGGAAACUGGCGCUAACACUGGAUACGCCCUUCGGGGGAAAGUUCACGCCGAGAGAUGGGCCCGCGUCGGGUUCGGUAGUUGGUGAGGUAAUGGCUCACCAAGCCGGCGAUCCGUAGCUGGUCUGAGAGGAUGAUCAGCCACACUGGGACUGAGACACGGCCCAGACUCCUACGGGAGGCAGCAGUGGGGAAUAUUGGACAAUGGGCGCAAGCCUGAUCCAGCAAUGCCGCGUGAGUGAUGAAGGCCUUAGGGUUGUAAAGCUCUUUCGCACGUGACGAUGAUGACGGUAACGUGAGAAGAAGCCCCGGCUAACUUCGUGCCAGCCGCCGCCGUAAUAC